CACGACCAGCCACACGGGCANUGAGACACGGGCCCGACUCCUACGGGAGGCAGCAGUGAGGAAUAUUGGGCAAUGGACGCAAGUCUGACCCAGCCAUGCCGCGUGAAGGAUGAAGGCGUUCUGCGUUGUAAACUUCUUUUAUUAGGGAAGAAACCUCCGUUUUCUAAUGGAGCCGACGGUACCUAGCGAAUAAGCACCGGCUAACUCCGUGCCAGCAGCCGCGGUAAUACGGAGGGUGCAAGCGUUAUCCGGAUUCACUGGGUUUAAAGGGUGUGUAGGCGGAUAUUUAAGUCAGUGGUGAAAUCUCCGGGCUCAACCCGGAAACUGCCGUUGAUACUAUUUAUCUUGAAUUCUGUUGAGGUGGGCGGAAUACAUCAUGUAGCGGUGAAAUGCUUAGAUAUGAUGUAGAACACCGAUUGCGAAGGCAGCUCACUAAGCAGACAUUGACGNUGAGGCANGAAAGCGUGGGGAUCAAACAGGAUUAGAUACCCUGGUAGUCCACGCCCUAAACGAUGAUUACUCGACAUACGCGAUACACAGUGUGUGUCUGAGCGAAAGCAUUAAGUAAUCCACCUGGGAAGUACGACCGCAAGGUUGAAACUCAAAGGA
rnacentral:rRNA from 1 species